GAUGACCACUGAGAGUCUGAGAUGUUCUGAGCAACACUGCCUCAUCUUUCAUCCAAAUUGAGUAAUUUUCCCAACUUGGAUGGUUUCCUUCCAGGCAUAAUCAGACAAGUACUCCGUUUGGAAGUGAGGCAGUCUUUGGAGAUAAACUUUUGUGGAUCAGACUGGACGGUUAGAGGUGUCCCCUGAAGGAAGCAAAGAGUGGAAGAGUAGACACAUAUGGAGUUGGCUGGCAAAGGAUCCAUGAGACUAUGCAAAGCACUCACCAGUGUUCCCAUGUUUUGAGAUUUGCACGCCUUUGAUAUUUUGACGGGAAAAGAGCAUCACCACAAAACAAGCCGCUAGAGGAUUAAAGGAGAUUUAUCACCCAGAAGGGUUCUAGGUAUCAUGGUUAACUGAGGUUUACUCACUUCGGAGAGAAUGCCCCAGUGGGAGAAAAUGUAACCUGAUUGGUCUUGAAAGAGAAUGCCAGCCCAAAUAAGAAUAAACAAACAAACAAAUGGACAGAGAAUCUCAGGAGGAGAAUAGAAUUAACUGGAAGGACACCACCAGGGGAAUUUGACAAAGGGCCAACAAUGGAAUUGAUUAGAUUGCUACCUGGAACAGUGGGUAGGUAAGCAGAGAAACCAAGGUAGGGCAGGGGCAUGAUGUCUGAGCCAUGCCCUCCCUAGAGACCUC
rnacentral:lncRNA from 1 species